ensembl:snRNA U6 U6 spliceosomal RNA
GUGCUUGCUUCAACAGCACUUAAACUAAAAUUGGAACAGUACAGAGAUUAGCAUGGCCCCUGCUCAAGGAUGAUGGACACAUCUGCGCAGUGUUCCAUAUUUUU